GACGAACGCUGGCGGCGUGCUUAACACAUGCAAGUCGAACGGUGAAGCGCCUUCCUUUUUGGUGGGUGUGGAUGAGUGGCGAACGGGUGAGUAACACGUGAGUAACCUACCCCCUUCUUCUGGAUAACCGCAUGAAAGUGUGGCUAAUACGGGAUAUUCUGUGUCUGUCGCAUGAUGGGUCUGGGGAAUAUAGUGUUUCGGUGGGGGAUGGGCUCGCGGCCUAUCAGCUUGUUGGUGGGGGGAUGGCCUACCAAGGCGGUGACGGGUAGCCGGCAUGAGAGGGUCGACGGUCACACUGGGACUGAGACACGGCCAAGACUCCUACGGGAGGCAGCAGUGGGGAAUAGUGCACAAUGGGAGCACGGCUGAUGCAGCGACGCCGCGUGAGGGAUGGAGGCCUUCGGGUUGUGAACCUCUUUCGCCAGUGAAGCAGGCCUGCCUCGUUUGUGGGUGGGUUGACGGUAGCUGGAUAAGAAGCGCCGGCUAACUACGUG
rnacentral:rRNA from 1 species